AUGGCGCAAGAUAAUACCAAAUUGUGUGAUUUCUUGAAUAGCAAUAAUAAUGAUUUACUUAGUACUCCAAUUGCUCCUCUUAAUGAUGUUGAGUCUUGUGAAAUCAAUACUGCUUUGCUGAAUCUUGUUAUGAAAGAUCAAUUCGCCGGCCUUCCUAGUGAAGAUGCCGCUACUCAUCUAAACAAUUUUGUUGAUUUGUGUGAUAUGCAAAAGAAGAAAUAUACAGAUAACGAUAUUGUCAAAUUGAAGUUAUUUCCGUUUUCACUUAGAGAUCGUGCUAAAGUUUGGUUUUCUUCUUUGCCUAAAAAUAGUAUUGAUUCUUGGAACAAGUGCAAAGAUGCUUUUAUCUCUAAGUAUUUUCCUCCCGCUAAGAUCAUCACUCUUAGGAACGAUAUUAUGAAUUUUAAACAACUCGAUCAUGAGCAUGUUGCCCAAUCUUGGGAAAGAAUGAAAUUGAUGAUUCAAUAUUGCCCUACUCAUGGUUUGAAUUUAUGGAUGAUCAUACAAAAACUUUAUGCCGGUUUGAACUUUGCUUCUAGAAAUCUUUUAGAUUCGGACGCCGGAGGCACGUUUAUGGAAAUCACUUUAGGAGAUGCUACAAAACUUCUUGAUAAUAUUAUGGCUAAUUAUUCUCAAUGGCACACCGAAAGAUCUUCUAGUAAAAAAGUGCAUGCUAUAGAAGAAAUUAAUGUUUUGAGUGGAAAGAUGGAUAAACUUAUGAAGUUGUUUGCUACUAAAAAUACUCCUCUUGAUCCCAAUGAUAUACCUUUGUCUACUUUGAUUGAGAGUAAUAAUGAAUCUAUGGAUGUGAAUUUUGUUGGUAGGAAUAGUUUUGGAAACAAUGCCUAUAGAGGAAACUUUAAUGGUAGACCGUUCCCUAGUAAUUCCUCUAAUAAUCAUGGAAAUUCCUACAAUAAUUCUUAUGGUAAUUUUAAUAAGAUGCCCUCUGAUUUUGAGAAUAGUGUGAAAGAAUUUAUGAUUUUUCAAAAGAAUUUUAAUGCUUUGCUUGAAGAAAAAUUGCUCCAAGUUGAUGAUUUGGCUAGGAACGUUGAUAGACUUUCGCUUGAUGUUGAUUCUCUUAAAAUUAGAUCUUCUUCUCGUAAGCAUGAUAUCAAUGAGUCUCUCAAAGCAAUGAGAAUUUCCAUUGAUGAGUGUAAGGAAAGAACCGCUAGAUUGCGUGCUAAAAAAGAUAGCUUUAUAAAAGCAUGUUCUUCUAGUUUACAUGAAAAUAAUGAUGAAUAUCUUAAAGUUAUUGAUGCAUCCCCUAUUAGAUCUUUGUUUUGUGAUAUGAAUCUUGAUAAUAAUGGGACUGGAGAUGAGUCAACUUUAUUUAGAAGGCGUCCCAAGAAUUCGGAGUUUUUAGAUCUUAAUGCUAAAUUUGGUAAAAGUAGGAUUGGAGAGGCCAUGACUUUAAAUAGCAUUGAACCCACUAUCUCAUAUUUCAAGGAGCUUGAUUAUGAUAAUUGUUCUUUAGAAGAUUGUAUUUCCUUGUUGCAAUCCGUUGUUAAUUCUCCACAUGCUUAUAGUCAAAAUAAAGCUUUUACCAAACAUAUCGUUGAUGCCUUGAUGCAAUCUUAUGAUGAAAAACUUAAUUUGGAAGUUUCUAUACCUAGAAAGCUUAAUGAUGAGUGGGAACCUACUAUAAAGAUUUAA
rnacentral:rRNA from 1 species